AACGAACGCUGGCGGCGUGGAUAAGACAUGCAAGUCGAGCGGUAAGGCCCUUUCGGGGGUACACGAGCGGCGAACGGGUGAGUAACACGUGGGUGACCUGCCCUCAGCUCUGGGAUAAGCCUGGGAAACCGGGUCUAAUACCGGAUAUGACUCCAUGACGCAUGUUGUGGGGUGGAAAGCCUUGUGCGGCUGAGGAUGGGCCCGCGGCCUAUCAGCUUGUUGGUGGGGUGANGGCCUACCAAGGCGACGACGGGUAGCCGGCCUGAGAGGGCGACCGGCCACACUGGGACUGAGACACGGCCCAGACUCCUACGGGAGGCAGCAGUGGGGAAUCUUGCGCAAUGGGCGAAAGCCUGACGCAGCGACGCCGCGUGAGGGAUGACGGCCUCGGUGUAAC
rnacentral:rRNA from 1 species